AUACGUAGGGUGCGAGCGUUGUCCGGAAUUACUGGGCGUAAAGAGCUCGUAGGUGGUUUGUCGCGUCGUCUGUGAAAUUCCGGGGCUUAACUCCGGGCGUGCAGGCGAUACGGGCAUAACUUGAGUACUGUAGGGGAGACUGGAAUUCCUGGUGUAGCGGUGAAAUGCGCAGAUAUCAGGAGGAACACCGGUGGCGAAGGCGGGUCUCUGGGCAGUAACUGACGCUGAGGAGCGAAAGCAUGGGUAGCGAACAGGAUUAGAUACCCUGGUAGUCCAUGCUGUAAACGGUGGGCGCUAGGUGUAGGGUUCUUCCACGACUUCUGUGCCGUAGCUAACACAUUAAGCGCCCCGCCUGGGGAGUACGGCCGCAAGGCUAAAACUCAAAUGAAUUGACGGGG
rnacentral:rRNA from 1 species